rnacentral:rRNA from 1 species
GUCGAACGGAACUUGAGAGAGCUUGCUUUUUCAGUUUAGUGGCGAACGGGUGAGUAACGCGUGAGUAACCUGCCCUGGAGUGGGGGACAACAGUUGGAAACGACUGCUAAUACCGCAUAAGCCCACAGCACCGCAUGGUGCAGCGGGAAAAGGAUUUAUUCGCUUCAGGAUGGACUCGCGUCCAAUUAGCUAGUUGGUGAGGUAACGGCCCACCAAGGCGACGAUUGGUAGCCGGACUGAGAGGUUGAACGGCCACAUUGGGACUGAGACACGGCCCAGACUCCUACGGGAGGCAGCAGUGGGGGAUAUUGCACAAUGGGGGAAACCCUGAUGCAGCGACGCCGCGUGGAGGAAGAAGGUUUUCGGAUUGUAAACUCCUGUCGUAAGGGACGAUAAUGACGGUACCUUACAAGAAAGCCACGGCUAACUACGUGCCAGCAGCCGCGGUAAAACGUAGGUGGCAAGCGUUGUCCGGAAUUACUGGGUGUAAAGGGAGCGCAGGCGGACCGGCAAGUUGGAAGUGAAAUCUAUGGGCUCAACCCAUAAAUUGCUUUCAAAACUGCUGGCCUUGAGUAGUGCAGAGGUAGGCGGAAUUCCCGGUGUAGCGGUGGAAUGCGUAGAUAUCGGGAGGAACACCAGUGGCGAAGGCGGCCUGCUGGGCACCAACUGACGCUGAGGCUCGAAAGCAUGGGUAGCAAACAGGAUUAGAUACCCUGGUAGUCCAUGCCGUAAACGAUGAUUACUAGGUGUUGGAGGAUUGACCCCUUCAGUGCCGCAGUUAACACAAUAAGUAAUCCACCUGGGGAGUACGACCGCAAGGUUGAAACUCNAAGGAAUUGACGGGGGCCCGCACAAGNAGUGGAGUAUGU